rnacentral:rRNA from 1 species
GAUGAACGCUGGCGGCGUGCUUAACACAUGCAAGUCGAACGGAGAGGUCAGAGCUUGCUUUGCUGGACGAGUGGCGAACGGGUGAGUAACACGUGAGCAAUCUGCCCCUGACUCUGGGAUAAGCCCUGGAAACGGCGUCUAAUACUGGAUACGAUCUGCGAAGGCAUCUUCAUCAGCAGUGAAGAAUUGCGGUGAGGUUUGGUCUCGCGGCUUAUCAGCUUGUUGGUGAGGUUGUGGCUCACCAAGGCGUCCACGGGUACCCGGCGUGAGGGGGUGACCGGCCACAUGGGGACGGAGGAAGGCCCCAGAAUCGAACGGGAGGCAGAAGUGGGGAAUAUUGCAAAAUGGGGGAAAGCCUGAUGCGGCAACGCCGGGUGAGGGAAGACGGCUUUCGGGUUGUAAACCCCUUUGAGAGGGGCAGAACCGAUAGUGACGGUACCUGCAGAAAAAGCCACGGCUAACUACGUG